AGAGUUUGAUCCUGGCUCAGAAUGAACGUUGGCGGCGUGGAUUAGGCAUGCAAGUCGAGCGCGAUAUUUUUGAAAGAUACUUCGGUUGAUUUCUUAAAUGGAAAGCGGCGAAAGGGAGAGUAACGAGUAGAUACGUACCCAGGGGUCCGGGAUAGCCAUGCGAAAGCGUGAGUAAUACCGGAUAAUGUCUCCGGACCAAAUAUUUAUAGCCCUUGGAGCGGUCUGCUUACUAUUAGCUUGUUGGUGGGGUAAAGGCCUACCAAGGCGAAGAUGGUUAGCGGGUGUGAGAGCAUGGCCCGUCUCACUGGGACUGAGACACUGCCCAGACAUCUACGGAUGGCUGCAGUCGAGAAUCUUCCGCAAUGGACGAAAGUCUGACGGAGCGACGCCGCGUGAUGGACGAAGGCCCUCGGGUUGUAAACAUCUGUCGUAGGGGAGGAAAUUUUGACCGAUCCUAGGAGGAAGCACAGGCUAAGUUCGUGCCAGCAGCCGCGGUAAUACGAACUGUGCAAACGUUAUUCGGAAUCACUGGGCUUAAAGGGUGCGUAGGCGGGUUAGUAGGUCAGAUGUGAAAUCCCACGGCUCAACCGUGGGACUGCGUUUGAAACCACUAGUCUUGAGGGGAUCAGAGGAGAGCGGAACUGAUGGUGGAGCGGUGAAAUGCGUUGAUAUUAUCAGGAACACCGGUGGCGAAGGCGGCUCUCUGGGAUCUUUCUGACGCUGAGGCACGAAAGCUAGGGGAGCGAACGGGAUUAGAUACCCCGGUAGUCCUAGCUGUAAACGAUCUGUACUAGUCCGUGGGGACCCCCACAUCUUCUCGGACGUAGCGAAAGUGUUAAGUACAGCGCCUGGGGAGUAUGGUCGCAAGGCAA
rnacentral:rRNA from 1 species